UGGGGAAUAUUGGACAAUGGGCGAAAGCCUGAUCCAGCAAUGCCGCGUGAGUGAUGAAGGCCUUAGGGUUGUAAAGCUCUUUUACCAGGGAUGAUAAUGACAGUACCUGGAGAAUAAGCUCCGGCUAACUCCGUGCCAGCAGCCGCGGUAAUACGGAGGGAGCUAGCGUUGUUCGGAAUUACUGGGCGUAAAGCGCACGUAGGCGGCUUUCCAAGUCAGGGGUGAAAUCCCGGGGCUCAACCCCGGAACUGCCCUUGAAACUGGACGGCUUGAAUCCUGGAGAGGCGAGUGGAAUUCCGAGUGUAGAGGUGAAAUUCGUAGAUAUUCGGAAGAACACCAGUGGCGAAGGCGACUCGCUGGACAGGUAUUGACGCUGAGGUGCGAAAGCGUGGGGAGCAAACAGGAUUAGAUACCCCCGUAGUCC
rnacentral:rRNA from 1 species